GCUUUAGAAAGUAUAGUAUGUACCAAUGCCUCAAAUUUCUCUCCUCUGAUCCGCUGUACAACUCCAAUUGUUCGUCCUUAUCAUAGUGUUUCUGAGGUGGAUUCUGUCUUUAGACAUUCUUCAACUAAAAGAUACCUUUAGCAUUAUCCUUCAAUUUAAGCUGAACCAAAAAGCAGCCAUUGAUUACACAAUACUGACGA
rnacentral:rRNA from 1 species